UCUCUUUCUCUCUCUCUCUCUCUCUCUCUCCCCUUCCUCACAUGCAUGCUCUCUCUCUCUCAAAAAUAAAUAAAAAUAAACUCAUAAAAAAAAUUGCAGACCACCCAGCUGGUGUUGCAGAAAAUUGCUUGGUGUGGGGAAAAAGCACACAUUUGGAAGUGAAGUGUUUUAUGUGACUAGUGAAGGAGACUCACAGGGAAGAAACACACAGGAGAUAGACUGAAGUAAGGUUUUCCCUGACACAAGUGGAAAAUUAAGUUUUUCCAAUAUAUGAUCCCUCAUUCUGAUACACAGAUUAUCCAAAUGUUAACAUUUCAUCAGGUUUGCUUUAUUUCUAUGUAUCUAUCUACACACAUAUAAUUUUUUUGCUGAACCAUUUGAGCGUAAAUUUCAGAGAUAAAGCCCCAUUUACCUCUAAGUACUUGGGAUGGUUAAUUUUAUGUGUCAACUUGACCGGGCUAUUGGGUGCCCAGAUAUGGGGUCAAACAUUAUUCUGGGUCUUUUUGUAAGUGUGUUUUGGGAUGAGGUUAACAUUUAAAUUGGCAAAUCAGAUUGCCCUUCCUAAUGUGGGUGGGCCUCGUCAGUCAGAGGCCUGAAUAGAACAAAAUGGCUGACCAUCUUUGAGAAAGAGAGUUCUUUCCUGCCUGAGUGCCUCUGAUUUGGGACUUUGGCUUUUUUCCUGCCUUUGGACUCAAACUGAAACAUUGACUCUUCCUGGGUCUCCAACCUGCUGGCCUGCAGACUGGAAUUGCAGCAUUGGUUCUCUUUGUUCUCAGGCCUUUGGACUUGGACUGGAACUACACCGUCAGCUCUCCCGGUUUCCAGCUUGCUGACUCACCUGGCAGAUCUUGGGACUUGUUAGCCUACAUAAUCCAUCUGAGAAGUGUAUAUGAAGCAGGAGUUAUUGAAGAUGGAAUGAGAUCAUCAUGGAUGGGUGGGUGAGGAAGUGGGUAAGGGUGAGAGAGCAUAUGGUGAAAAAGAAUCCAAUUUUCUAUUAAAUCACUUUGGCUAGCAUGUGAAGAUGGUAUUAGAGGAACAGGAAGAAUAGAAAAGCCGUUCACAGUAGUAUGGUGAAAGAUAAUCUGAGUGAAGGCAGGAGAUGGGCUAGAGAGAAAUAAAUUGAUCAGAAUGCUGCUAAAAAAGAUAGAAUCUAUAGGACUUGCUUUUGGUCAGGGCUUUGCAACUUGCUAAUCCAGCAACUGAUAGGGAAUGUUGGGAGGCUGUGGUUGGAGAAGGCCUUGCUAGGGAGGUGAUUUAAUCAGAGAUCUGAAUGAUUAGGGGGUAACUAACCAUGAGGAAAGAGAGAUCUGGGCAGAGGGAAUGUAUUCAUUAUGUUCUGGAUGUGUUAUGUUAAGCUCAGUGUUGGCAUACUUGUUGUUCUUAAAUGUAUUGGAUGGAUGUGUGAACUAAUGUGCAAAUAGAGAGGGCUGAUGUCAUUGUUAUUUCUGUUGCAAAAAUAAAUGGAAGCUUUGUAAAUUGCAAA